rnacentral:rRNA from 1 species
UACAGAGGGGGCAAGCGUUGUUCGGAAUUACUGGGCGUAAAGGGCGCGUAGGCGGCCUUCUAAGUCGAACGUGAAAUCCCCGGGCUCAACCCGGGAACUGCGUCCGAUACUGGAAGGCUUGAAUCCGGGAGAGGGAUGCGGAAUUCCAGGUGUAGCGGUGAAAUGCGUAGAUAUCGGGAGGAACACCAGUGGCGAAGGCGGCUACCUGGCCCAUUCUUGACGCUGAGGCGCGAAAGCUAGGGGAGCAAACGGG